rnacentral:rRNA from 1 species
CCUACGGGAGGCAGCAGUGAGGAAUAUUGGUCAAUGGCCGCAGGGCUGAACCAGCCAAGUCGCGUGAGGGAUGACGGUCCUAUGGAUUGUAAACCUCUUUUGUCAGGGAGCAAGGUGCAGGUCGGGACCUGCUGUGAGAGUACCUGAAGAAAAAGCAUCGGCUAACUCCGUGCCAGCAGCCGCGGUAAUACGGAGGAUGCGAGCGUUAUCCGGAUUUAUUGGGGUUAAAGGGUGCGCAGGCGGAGGCACAAGUCAGCGGUAAAAUCGCGGGGCUCAACCCCGCUCCGCCGUUGAAACUGUGUGCCUUGAGUGCGCGAAGGGUAGGCGGAAUGCGUGGUGUAGCGGUGAAAUGCAUAGAUAUCACGCAGAACUCCGAUCGCGAAGGCAGCCUACCGGCGCGCAACUGACGCUCAUGCACGAAAGCGUGGGUAUCGAACAGGAUUAGAUACCCCAGUAGUC